rnacentral:rRNA from 1 species
CAGCGCCACGAGUGGUGACCACGUUUAUUGGGCCUAAAGCGUCCGUAGCCGGUUUGGCAAAUCUUUUGUGAAAUUGUGCGGCUUAACCGUACAGCGUGCAAGAGACACUACCAAACUCGAGACCGGGAGGAGUCAGAAGUAUUCCAGGGGGAGCGGUAAAAUGUUAUAAUCCCUGGAGGACUACCUGUGGCGAAGGCGUCUGACCAGAACGGAUCUGACGGUGAGGGACGAAAGCUAGGGGAGCGAACCGGAUUAGAUACCCGAGUAGUCC